GUUGUAAUUUGUAGAGGAUGUUUUGGGUACCGCCCCGGUCUAAAUUUCUUGGAACAGAAUGUCAAAGAGGGUGAGAAUCCCGUCUUGGACCGGCGGUAGGGCCUGUGUAAAACUCCUUCGAC
rnacentral:rRNA from 1 species